rnacentral:rRNA from 1 species
CCUACGGGUGGCAGCAGUAGGGAAUAUUGCUCAAUGGGGGAAACCCUGAAGCAGCAACGCCGCGUGGGGGAUGAAGGUUUUCGGAUUGUAAACUCCUUUUGUUAGAGAAGAUAAUGACGGUAUCUAACGAAUAAUCACCGGCUAACUCCGUGCCAGCAGCCGCGGUCAUACGGAGGGUGCAAGCGUUACUCGGAAUCACUGGGCGUAAAGAGCGCGUAGGCGGGAUAGCAAGUCAGAUGUGAAAUCCCAUGGCUUAGCCAUAGAACUGCCUUUGAAACUGUUAGUCUAGAGUAUGGGAGAGGCAGGUGGAAUUCCUGGUGUAGGGGUGAAAUGCGUAGAGAUCAAGAGGAAUACUCAUUGCGAAGGCGACCUGCUAGAACAUAACUGACGCUGAGGCGCGAAAGCGUGGGGAGCAAACAGGAUUAGAUACCCGGGUAGUC